rnacentral:rRNA from 1 species
GAUGAACGCUGGCGGCGUGCCUAAUACAUGCAAGUCGAGCGAACGGACGAUAAGCUUGCUUCUCUGAUGUUAGCGGCGGACGGGUGAGUAACACGUGGAUAACCUACCUAUAAGACUGGGAUAACUUCGGGAAACCGGAGCUAAUACCGGAUAAUAUUUUGAACCGCAUGGUUCAAAAGUGAAAGACGGUCUUGCUGUCACUUAUAGAUGGAUCCGCGCUGCAUUAGCUAGUUGGUAAGGUAACGGCUUACCAAGGCAACGAUGCAUAGCCGACCUGAGAGGGUGAUCGGCCACACUGGAACUGAGACACGGUCCAGACUCCUACGGGAGGCAGCAGUAGGGAAUCUUCCGCAAAGGGCGAAAGCCUGACGGAGCAACGCCGCGUGAGUGAUGAAGGUCUUCGGAUCGUAAAACUCUGUUAGUAGGGAAGAACAUAUGUGUAAGUAACUGUGCACAUCUUGACGGUACCUAAUCAGAAAGCCACGGCUAACUACGUG